GGCAGCACGGGGGCAACCCUGGUGGCGAGUGGCGAACGGGUGAGUAAUGCAUCGGAACGUGCCCAGUAGUGGGGGAUAACUAGUCGAAAGACUAGCUAAUACCGCAUACGACCUAUGGGUGAAAGCGGGGGACCUUUACCGGCCUCGCGCUAUCGGAGCGGCCGAUGUCUGAUUAGCUAGUUGGCGGGGUAAAAGCCCACCAAGGCGACGAUCAGCAGCUGGUCUGAGAGGACGACCAGCCACACUGGGACUGAGACACGGCCCAGACUCCUACGGGAGGCAGCAGUGGGGAAUUUUGGACAAUGGGCGCAAGCCUGAUCCAGCCAUGCCGCGUGCGGGAAGAAGGCCUUCGGGUUGUAAACCGCUUUUGGCAGGAACGAAACGGCGCGAGCGAAUAUCUCGCGUUAAUGACGGUACCUGCAGAAUAAGCACCGGCUAACUACGUGCCAGCAGCCGCGGUAAUACGUAGGGUGCGAGCGUUAAUCGGAAUUACUGGGCGUAAAGCGUACGCAGGCGGCUUUGCAAGACAGGUGUGAAAUCCCCGGGCCUAACCUGGGAACUGCAUUUGUGACUGCAUGGCUAGAGUUUGUCAGAGGGGGGUGGAAUUCCACGUGUAGCAGUGAAAUGCGUAGAUAUGUGGAGGAACACCGAUGGCGAAGGCAGCCCCCUGGGAUGUGACUGACGCUCAUGUACGAAAGCGU
rnacentral:rRNA from 1 species